UACGUAUGGGGCAAGCGUUAUCCGGAUUUACUGGGUGUAAAGGGAGCGUAGACGGUAAUACAAGUCUGGAGUGAAAGGCAUGGGCUCAGCCUGUGGACUGCUCUGGAAACUGUAUAACUAGAGUGCAGGAGAGGAGAAUGGAAUUCCUAGUGUAGCGGUGAAAUGCGUAGAGAUUAGGAAGAACACCAGUGGCGAAGGCGAUUCUCUGGACUGUAACUGACGCUGAGGCUCGAAAGCGUGGGGAGCAAACAGGAUUA
rnacentral:rRNA from 1 species